CAUCACUGCCAAUUUUGAUUCAUUUUGAACUGUUAAGAUUGCCUUUUUGCUUUGGUUUUCUAAUUUCCUUUAUUGCAAGUGUUUGAUAACAAAUUCUUUGAUUUUUAUAGCUGCAAAAUCUUCUUCAACAAAUGCAAUCUAGGUUUCAAACAAUGUCUGAUUCCAUUGUCACCAAGAAUAUCCUUUCAAAUGUUCUUUCAUAAGAUAGAAACUUUUGUCAACAAUGUCUGAUUAAGUAAAUAAUUUG